AGCUCUUUAGUAUAAUUUUAGUAUUUUUGACUUCCAAUCAAAGGGUCUCAAGGGUUA
rnacentral:tRNA from 1 species